rnacentral:rRNA from 1 species
UACGUAGGGGUCAAGCGUUGUCCGGAUUUAUUGGGCGUAAAGAGCGUGUAGGCGGCCAUACAGGUCAGCUGUGAAAACUCGAGGCUCAACCUCGAGACGUCGGUUGAAACCGUAUGGCUAGAGUCCGGAAGAGGAGAGUGGAAUUCCCGGUGUAGCGGUGAAAUGCGCAGAUAUCGGGAAGAACACCCGUGGCGAAGGCGGCUCUCUGGGACGGUACUGACGCUGAGGUGCGAAAGCGUGGGGAGCAAACAGG